rnacentral:rRNA from 1 species
AGAGUUUGAUCAUGGCUCAGGAUGAACGCUGGCGGCGUGCCUAAUACAUGCAAGUCGAGCGAACUGAUUAGAAGCUUGCUUCUAUGACGUUAGCGGCGGACGGGUGAGUAACACGUGGGCAACCUGCCUGUAAGACUGGGAUAACUUCGGGAAACCGAAGCUAAUACCGGAUAGGAUCUUCUCCUUCAUGGGAGAUGAUUGAAAGAUGGUUUCGGCUAUCACUUACAGAUGGGCCCGCGGUGCAUUAGCUAGUUGGUGAGGUAACGGCUCACCAAGGCAACGAUGCAUAGCCGACCUGAGAGGGUGAUCGGCCACACUGGGACUGAGACACGGCCCAGACUCCUACGGGAGGCAGCAGUAGGGAAUCUUCCGCAAUGGACGAAAGUCUGACGGAGCAACGCCGCGUGAGUGAUGAAGGCUUUCGGGUCGUAAAACUCUGUUGUUAGGGAAGAACAAGUACGAGAGUAACUGCUCGUACCUUGACGAUACCUAACCAGAAAGCCACGGCUAACUACGUGCCAGCAGCCGCGGUAAUACGUAGGUGGCAAGCGUUAUCCGGAAUUAUUGGGCGUAAAGCGCGCGCAGGCGGUUUCUUAAGUCUGAUGUGAAAGCCCACGGCUCAACCGUGGAGGGUCAUUGGAAACUGG